CAACUUCCACCUGGCAUACCUCUUCAGUAAUGCGUCAUGGCUUGUAUUGUCUUGAGCGUAUUGUGGGUUUCCUGUGUUGCAUACCUAAUCAAUGGUAUCGUUUUGAUUGAUCGAUGUCCCUUUUCAUCUUGUGUUGCAUUUGUGACGCAUGAUGAACCUCGAAGCGAUCUCUAUGUUCCAUCAUGUUGAUGCAAUGUGUCGAUGUUGUGGCCCAUUGAGCUUUUGCUUGGUAUCCUAGAUACGGAACAUUGUUUGGGCAUGGGGUCUCUAAUGACUCUUUUUUUGUCCUUCUUCGGUGUUCUUCAAAACGACAGCUCAUGCGCGCCUAGGCUCGUACCUGUGCGAUGUUCUUUGUCGAAGAGGAAUGCUACCUGGUUGAUCCUGCCAGUAGUCAUAUGCUUGUCUCAAAGAUUAAGCCAUGCAUGUGUAAGUA
rnacentral:misc_RNA from 1 species